AGGGCAGAGUCUGCCUUUCUACUCUUUUAGGUGCUUCCAGGAGUGUUGAGAGGGGAGACCUCUCCCCAGGAGCCAGCUUCUAGAAAGGGUCUGUCUGGGGACACAGGGAUGAAUACACCGACAUGACUGUCAAAGACUAUGUGCUUGCCAUUAAUUGAUACACUCAAUUUUAAUAAUAUCCUAUGCUAUGGCCAACUCAUAUCCUGAACAUCACGUUUUAAGGGGCUAUUUUUCCAUAUCACACCAUCCAGUGAAGGGUGGCUAGGAAGGAGGGAGGACCCUUCCCAUGAAGAAUGGGCCAAAGAAUCUGUCCUCAAAUAUCUGGGAUCUGUCAUGUGGAAUGGCUUGUAGAUCUCUGUGUUUCUCGAGUAGGAAGAACGAGGAGGGAAUGAUUAUUUUCCAAAGGGCAGAUCUGAGCUCAGUGCAAUGCUGUUUCUCGAUACCCUAAUCCCAAAAUGAAAGGUUACCGUUACAUACUCACUGAUCACUGGAAAUGCUCCAAAUGCUGAAGAAAAAAACUGGACGACCACCUCAAGCAAGAGGAUGUUGUGUGCAAAAAGUUGGAAUAGUUGACUUUGUUUUUAAAUGCUUACUUAUUUAUUUUGAGAGAGAGAGAGAGAGAGAGAGCGCCUGCACAUGAGUGGGGGAGGGGCAGAGAGAGAGGGAGAGAGAAUCCCAAACAAGCUCCACACUGUCAGUGCAGAGCCUGACGUGAGGGUCGAUCCCACAAGCUGUGAGAUUGUGACCUGAGCCAAAAUCCAGAGUCAGGUUUUUUAUAUAACCGACUCAGCCACCCAGAUACCCCUGGAAUAUUGAUUUCUGUAAUUAUUUCCUACAUGAGACCUUAUGGAAAACCUGUAUCAUUGAAUUCAUAGAAAGGAAUGCUAUGUCUCUUUCAGAGACAUGGCUCCUUUUUUCUGGGAUAAUCAUACUCAGCCCGUCUAUCUUCUCCCUCCUUAGUUACUUAUAUGUAUUUCUGAUACUGUAUUCAUUUAUUAAAUAAAAUGUGGGGUGCCUGGCUGGCUCAGUUGGUAGAGUGUGUGACUUUCCAUCUUUGGGUUGUGAGUUCGAGCCCCAUGUUAGAUAUAGAGACUACUUAAAAAAAUAAAAUCUUAAAAUUUUUUUAACAUGUAUUUAGUUUUGAGAGAGAGAGAGACAGAGACAGAGACAGAAAGAGAGAGAGAGAGACAGAAUCUGAAGCAGGCUCCAGGCUCCAUGCGGAUAGCACAGACCCUGACGGGGGGCUCAAACCCACAAACAUUGAGAUCGUGACCUGAGCCGAAGUCAGUCGCUCAACUGACUGAGCCACCCAGGCACCCCUUAAAAAAAUAAAAUGCCAUCGCAUACCAAACGGUAUGCCAAGCUCAACUUCAAAAGAGUGUACCCGUAUUUCUUACUAGUCACUUAGUCAUUCUUAGGACAAACAACGCGGUAUCACUUUAGCUGGUUAUUUCAAAAUAUAAUUACACUUAGGCCUAAUGAAUUUAGACUGUUCAUUAGGAAAAGAAUCUUCCUCAAUUGCGUAGUCCACGCAGGCAACAUAAAACACGAUGGGAGAAGGCUUUCAAAAUAGAAAACACAGAUCAUCAAAAGCUAUCCCAAAUAUUUUAGAAACAUCUGCAAAAGAAAAGCUGUUGAUAUUUUUUGUUUUGAGUUAUUCCAAGUCUGCUUACUCUAGCCCAUCUCGUGAAUUUUUUAGGAAAUCUUUCCACUUGAAAGUUACGGAAUUUUUUUUUGUCUUUAUUUAUACUUUCUUCCUGCCUCAGAUUUCUAUUUUAAUUCGGACAGCUCUUCCCGAGGUAAAGAUGGGGCACCGCAGGGAACAUUCUCCAGGGGCACCAACAAAAUCCAGGUCUCUCAACGUGCAAAACAUGUUCACGUUUCCCAGUGGCUCACGGUAGGACGAGGAAAACUCCAGCUUCUUCACCUGGACCAUAUGGCAUUUGAAAGGAAGCGAAAUUUCCUCUUUUCAAACCAAAGGCCUUCACUAAGUCUACUUUUAUUGACAAGCGUUUCAGGAGAGUGCGCCCGGGGAAAAGGUUCCUCCAGCUCUCGGAGUCUCCGGCACACCCGGUUAUAGCACAGCUGUGCGGACGUCACACUCUCUUGGCUGCAGGCGCCUGCAAGAGGCUGUUUUUCAAAGGUGUGGCAAAGGAGGCAGCAGGUCCUGGAACCGCACGGAUCUGGGUCCAAGUUCCGGCUCUGCCAUUCGUCAGUGUCCCAACCUUAGGACUGCUACCUAGCUUUCUGCCAUGCAUAAACGAGCAAACACCAUAAACGAGAAAACCACCACCUUCCAGGGGUGGUCAACAACCUGGCCUUUCGUCACUGUGUCUGCUUGCCUGGCACACACACUCCCUCAGAUGGGAGGGGACCCUACCACUCUGUCACCCAGUCUUGGCCAUUUGGACCCUCUCGCUGGAAUCUGAGCGUCCACUGCAAGGACCCACGGGCCCUUGGUGUUGGUUAAUUCCAAUGGCCCCACCUAACAAGCAAACCACUGGUUCCUUCUCCCACAGCCCAGAGUUCUCCCACUCCAUCGCCUAAGGAUCUGCUUCAUCAGUUUUACUAGGCAUCUGGAACCUAACGUGAUGAAACACCUAAGUUGGAUCAAAAGUAAUACACAGACCUCCGCUGGCUGUCCACACAAGGGCAGAAGGCACAGUUCAAAGGGCCUGAGGAUUUUGUUUUCCUGUGCACAGACGACCCCCUCUCCACUCCGCAUCUCCAAGCCCUUGUCCUCCAGGCUCAUUCUGCACCCAUCACUCUGCCUGUGACUUACAGUGAUUCUCCCCUUUCACUGGGAGAAGCAGCCGGUGACUUGGGGGCUGGAUCCUCUCAUUAUCCCUUUGCGCAGAGGAGAAGACAAGCUCAGCGAGGCUAAGCGGCACUGCCACCACCUCGAUUCAAACCUUGUCCUCUUCACCACUGUCCCAUCCACCCCGUCACCCGCACGCCGCCUCCAGCAGGCAUCUGCGUCUCUGGAUCCGAGCACAGCCACCCUCGGAGGACACACAUCCCCCGCCCACCCCCCCUUCCCACCAAGACGCUAAGUACACGGCUGGCAAUCAUGGGUGAUAUCUGUGACAUUGCACACGAGCCUCCUUUUAUCUUUUCCAGCUCCCUUUGUUUAUAUAUCAAAUGGAACAGCACUCACCCUCUUCAAAGGGAGAAGGAGAGGCAGUGAUGUGGAAUGAAUCUCUUAGAAGUAGAGUUUGACGGCGACUGAAAGAUUUAUCCAAACGAGAGGGUACGAGGACCGGUCACAUGCCUGUCAUUUAUAGCAUCGUGAUGGGCUCUAUGCCAUUAACUUUUAAUUAACUCAAUUAGAACAGAAUGUCUGACACCACAAUGAGCACAUACAAACACCCCGGUUGGUGUCAUGUUAAAUUAAUGUCUCUGAAUGGCAGAUUCUCUGCUUGCAUUAAUGGGUUUGCCACCCUGGUUCUGUUAACUGUCCCCAGCUCCGACGUGCUGGUCACAUUGGAGACAUACCAGUGGUCCCCAGUGCACACACAGCUCCUGAAAGUCCCACCUCAGAUGGAACACUGAGCCCCGAAGCCUUCUCAGAUGGCCCUUCUCUCGUCUUGAUCAGCAGGAACACUAUUUUCACCGCUCAGGCUCCACGGGCAUUUUUCUCCCCUCGUGCACCCACUAAAGCUGGCUAGAUAAGGUGGGGUCUAAUUUUUUUAAGACGUUUCAUCUUAAUAAUCAGGAACCAGGAUGGCUAAAGUAGGCUUUUUCAGUAGGGGGCUGCAAUUUCAAAUAAGACACACCUUUUUUUGGCUCUUGAGCUGAAAAUGUUGGCAGUGAAAAUGGUUUCUUUACAGUCAGACUCUAGCUAUAAUGCUGUAAAGCUAUGCUUUUUGGCCAAUCAAUGUCUUCGCUCAUCUUAAGGAGCAUUGUUAGUACAAUUCACUGUCUAAAUAAAAAAUAGCCUCAAAACAACCAUGGAUUUGUACUUGGGUAUAAAGGCCUGGUUUAAUCUAUCACCUCAUACAUUUAAUCAAGAGUAGGCAAAAAUUAAUCUUUCAAAUGGCCAUUGUUGCUGGUGUGUGGUCCUACUGGGUUCCUCUUCCUAAAAGAUUCACGGAAGCACCUUCCCCUGAUUUCUUUCAUAAACUUCUCAGGUCAUGGACCCAACGCAGAGAAGAGGGGAGGAUUGGGACAAAGAAUGGAGACAAAAGCUGAAGGGGCUAGAAAGAGGCUGACAUCCCUGAACUUUGGCCUUUGGGGUCAUCUUGAACACUCCUUACAUUUCAUACUAUGUCAUUUCACUUUUAGCAAACAAGAAAAUGCAGACAAAUCCUUCCUAAGCAGCAGCCACGUGGGGCUUCCUUGCAUGUGUCAAACAAACCACGGCUUUCCCUCUUAACCUUUGCACAUUCUGCUCCUUUGUCCACGAAAGGCUACUUUCUCUGUUUGGAGAACUCCUGCUCACCUUCCAGUAGGAAAGGCUGGACACCGCUUCUGCAGGGGAGUUCUCCUCCACCCCCACAUUUGCGUUCCUUCGAAAGCAGUCAUCACUUUAUUACUUGUUCAGUGUUUGCCUUUGUGCUACACAGCAAGUCCCGGGGUCAACCACCUUUGCCUACAGUCCCCACAACACAUAGCAUCCAGCCCCUGAGACUUAUUCGACAGGCAGGCGGUAAAUGCUCAUAGGAGACAGGAAAAGUCGUGCAGCACAGCCUACAUCGGAACCCAUCACAGAUUCCAAGGGUGGGGCCAGGCUGCGGGUCUCUGGCGGGCUUAGCAGGGACUCAGAACUCCCUGAUGACUGCGACCGCGGCCCCUUCAUUGCAGUUGCUAUAAAGUUUUUUUUUUUUAAGUUUAUUUUCUUUUGGAGGGGGGAGGAGCAGAGAGAGAGAGAGAGAGAGAGAGAGAGAGAGAGAGAGAGAGAAAGAGAAUCCCAAGCAGGCUCCAUGCUCAGCACAGAGCUCAACGCGGGGCUUGAAUCCACAAACCAUGAGACCAUGACCUGAGCCGAAAUCAAGAGUCGAACUCUUAACCAACUGAGCUACCCAAGUGCCCUGCUAUAAAUAUAUAUUUUUUUACUGUUUUGAAAGAUAUCCCUAAUGUCCUUAUGGCCUUGAAGUUCUCUGAGUAGGCAAUACUUAAAAUGAGAGCAUCCGUGGGCCCUGAUGACCUCAAAGAAUCAAUUCCUCAUAAAUAUGUACUUAUGGUCUUCUAAAAAGUCACUUAUGCUAAGCUAAUUUAUAUACACCUGUUUAAUCUUUAACAGCCAUAGGGGGGUGGGUAUAUAUGAAAUCCUUCCAGGUUUAACCACAAUUGGGCCACCAGCUUCCCAUUUCCGAUGUCUGCUGUGUGCCUAGCACAUCGUGAGCUAUUUUACUGGCACCGUCUCAGGUGAUCUUCAGAACAGCCAUACGAAUUAGGAGCCAAUCCCAUUUUACGGACAAGGAGACGGAAAGGGCUAUGUGGCUUGCUCAACCAGGCAGAAGCAGAGCUGGCCGCUGAACCCAGUCCAGCUGACCCCCUAGUGCCCCUUUAUUACAAAUACUGAAAAUAUCACAACCAAAGUUGUCCCGGAUUUUCAUACUCAUCCUGCUGUUGAACCAGGAAAGCAAUGAGACUAGACACCAAGAAAGGUGGUUUUCAAGGGUUAAAUAAGUCAUUGCCAUCUGGCCCAGCACAGCCCUGCAGAAGGAGCCGAGCUAAAGCAGGGCGGUAAUCAAGUCUGCAGGACACGCGAGCCAUUUUUGGCUGAACGUGAUGGCAGGGACUUUCUCAUGUGGAGGAAAUGCCAAACCACUGAAUAUGCUCGCGAAGACAUUUUCCAACAUUUAAAAGCCUUAAUUGUCUUUAUCUGUGGGAAAGCCAUUUUCUGUAUGCAUUCCCAAUUUUCUAAUGCAAAUACAAAUACCCACCUUGCAACCAACCCUAGUUUCAAGCUGGGGAAGAGGGUGGAGGCCCGGCCAUCUGGGGGAGCUUUCCACUUCUCUUUUUAAUGGCCAAGCCCUCUGCCAUGGCCUCACAGACCACGUUGAGCAAGUCGCAAUGUGCCCGGACUCGGUACACAUUAGUUUCGAGGACUGAAUCCUCAAUCUUUUCAUUAGUCAAUUUCAUCUACAGUCAGUAUUUUUUUUAUUAAAAAUAAUAGCAAGAGAUUUUGUGCAUUCCUGCUGCUUCAUGAGCCAUCUGUCACGGACACCUUGGGCAAAGAGGCUAUGAAAAGCAUGAGAAACAUGUCGAUCAGCUGGAAAAAAAAAAAAGAAAAACAAGAAAGAGCUGGCCUCUUGCUUUCAGACAGAUGAAUUCUAGCAUCUCACCCAGCAUUUUCCCCUAGUAGGGACAUUUUUACAAGGAAUUUAAUUGAUCCUAUUAGACUUGGUAUAGGAAUCAGUUAUCUUUAUAGCUACAGUCAGCCAAUAAGAGAAGCUGGGUGAGUCACUUUUAUUAUUGGUCUCAAAUUGGAAGAAACACAAAGAAACCAAGCAAAAUCCUGGAGAAUUAUUGAACAGAUUCAAGGUCUGGGUUUUUUAAAAAUGUAUUUAUACCCUGUACCAAUCCGCACUGGAUUCAAAGAAGCUUGUGCCACUAAGCACAGUAACGUGGAAUUGUAAGUCGCCACAAAGAAGGAUCAGAGAAAGGGGAGAAGAUUGGCAUUGCGUGCCGUCCUCGGAUGUUACUCUGCCUGGACCACCACUCUGACCUUGCGUGUCUUGUCAGCCAAAGGAAAAGGGGGAAAUGUGGUCAGUAAGUGCUGCCAGUGGCUCGUGGUGGUGAUGGUGAGGGAGAGCACAAGGCACGUCAUCAAAAGGAUUCCUGAUCCUUAGAUCACGAGUCUUCCAAGAAGACCCCAGCACCAUAAGCCCCCCCAUUCUGUGCCAAGUAGCAAGAGGACCGGGUCCAGGCAGUGAGCUACAUGGUUUCUCACGCAUCACGGAGCAGCUCAGCCACCUGGCUGCAGCCCCCGUCCACCAGCUG